CCUACGGGAGGCUGCAGUGAGGAAUAUUGGUCAAUGGACGCAAGUCUGAACCAGCCAUGCCGCGUGCAGGAAGACGGCUCUAUGAGUUGUAAACUGCUUUUGUACGAGGGUAAAUCCCGACACGUGUAUCGCGUUGAAAGUAUCGUACGAAUAAGGAUCGGCCAACUCCGUGCCAGCAGCCGCGGUAAUACGGAGGAUUCAAGCGUUCUCCGGAUUUAUUGGGUUUAAAGGUUGCGUAGGCGGUUCGAUAAGUUAGGGGUGAAAUCCCGGGGCUCAACUCCGGCACUGCCUCUGAUACUGUCGGGCUAGAGUGUAGGAGCGGUAGGCGGAAUGUAUGGUGUAGCGGUGAAAUGCAUAGAGAUCAUGCAGAACACCGAUUGCGAAGGCAGCUUACCGGACUACGACUGACGUUGAGGCACGAAAGCGUGGGGAGCGAAAAGGAUUAGAUACCCUAGUAGUC
rnacentral:rRNA from 1 species